CGUCGAACGUGUGCGGCGUGGGCUCCACCAUGUUGCGGUUCACGAUCUCUCGGACCCGCGAGUCGAGAGACACCUGGAACACACAACAACUCUCACGACCCGCAGUCUACGGUUCACAAAUUACUUGAGCCUCGGGUGCUACGCAUGUUCUCGUCUAGUAAACGUAACGACAAAAGUGAAUAAAAUAAUGAUGUAUCGUUUUAGUUGUGCUUUCAAGUGACAAGCUAUAUUAUUUGGGUGCGUUCUGAUACCACGCGUCAGAAUUAUCACGAUUCCUGCAGAACCUAAGAAUUUGGAAUAACCGUAUGUAGAUUUGAUGGAGCCUUCGACUUUCAUGAGACUAUUUAACAAUUUACAUUCGCAUGCUUACUCGUGGCCGAAGUACUAGUACAUACAUCUUUUCUACACAUACUAAUACACUAAUCACCUCUAAUUACUACUCAACGCGAUGGCGGGUCCGUUGGGUGAGAUUUCUUAAAGAACGAAAUAUUGAGUUUAGACAUAUUUAGGUACUUUUUUCUAUAAGUGUACAUUUUUAAUUUUUGUUUGUACAUGAGCUAAAUAUGGUAAAUGAUGACUUCUUAUAAACGCUGCGUAUCCGCUCCAGACAUGCUUCGUGCUAAGUUUGUUACCGGUGAUGGUUUUUUUUAUUUUUAUGAUUGAAGCAUUACUGGUGGCCCGGAGGCCUUUCCAGUUUCACCAGGACAGGUGGGCGAGCAAAGGCUCAGCCAGGAGGGGUGGGAUUUGCUAACAGCUACCCGAGCGCCUCCGAAGGAGACCUAACAACUCAAGAGUAGCUGCUUCGCGAAUGAAUCUACUACCGGAUCGGAAUCGCGACACGCUGAGAAGAUCCGGCGAGAAACUCAGCGAGCUGAUUCAUGGGUUAGGUUGCACGGCGAACUCUUUGUCGAGUUCGACGAGUACGGUUACCGAGGUCCCUAAGCCUGCUCCUAGUGUUAGAGCUGAAGGCGUCUAAUGCAAAGGUUAUUGGAUCUGAUGGAUCCGUAAGGACGUGUCUAGGGCGUCGACGGUGACUGGCUCCUGCAUGAUCAGGAUUCGGGGAGUAGUCAGCGGCGACUACGAUAAGGCGAUUAUCAUGACGCAUAGCCUUAUCGAAGUACCGUUCCGACGCUGACUUCAUGUAUUUCUGUAUAGAUUCGAGGCCCAUGUCGUCGUGUAGGUCAACGUUCCUCACGAACCACGGAGCUCCGACGGCUAACCUGCAAAAGCGGGAUUGUAGAGAUUGAAGGGUGUCUAUGUGUGUGCGGGCCGCGUGAGCGAACACCACACUCACGUAAGUCAUGACGGGCCUUAUGCAAGUUUUGUAAAGUGUCACCUUGUUCCGAAGGGACAUUUUACUCCGCUUACAGAUCAUGGGGUAGAGUCUACUGAGAAUAAACGCGGCACGGUCACGGACUGAUUUUAUAUGCGGGCGGAAUGUUAUCGAUGCAUCCAGGGUAACGCCCAGGUACUUGACCUUCCUGCCCCAGGGUAUGGAUUGACUAAAGAGAGUAAUCGGGGGUGCGGUGAUGGUAUGAAGGACUAUAAGGUUGAUAGCUACGCUGAUAACAAGCAUCGCACCGUCUGGUGCACCUCGGUCUACCACAGGUUCAUGAGGUCUGUCCCUUCACAGUCUCACACGAGGCUCAGAGUCACCGCGACGACGGUACGCUAACAGGGCGGAUCAAAAGGCGGCAGUUCUCAACAAAUGAACCACGACAUUUGUCUGUUCAAAACUGUAUAUGUAUGUGUAGAAUUCAAUUUUUACUGGUGGUUACAAAUUUAUACUGUUGGUAGGACCUCUUAUGAGUCCGCACGGGUAGGUACCACCACCCUGCCUGUUUCUGCCGUGAAGCAGUAAUGCGUUUCGGUUUGAAGGGUGGGGCAGCCGUUGUAACUAUGUUAGACCUUAGAACGUAUAUCUCAAGGUGGGCGGCGCAUUUACGUUGUAGAUGUCUAUGGGCUCCAGUAACCACUUAACACCAGGUGGGCUGUGAGAUCGUCGACCCACCUAAGAAAAAAAAAAAAAAAACAUUGUGGAUACAUUGUUCAAGUUUUAACAAGUUGAUAAAACGAACCGGUGCUCCGCAUCAGCCGGUCGAACGACUGCCCCCAGCCUUGGAUCUCCUCCAGCGAUGGCCUGCAACCAACGAUAUUUACUGAGUACACGUCCCAAACGAACAAAACUUACAAUCUUAACACAUUUCUAAUCUUUGAUUCCUUAACUAUAGCACCCACUACCGAAGGCAUAUAUAAUGUGCCCGAUCUUUGAGACUGCUAAGACUGCUGCUGAAACUGCUAACACCCACUAGCUGCCGACUGACCCCGCAACGUGCAAGCAGCGAACUAGGAACCAUUCUCCCCACUGGUGUCAGGGCAGCUUUUGAUUUCGACAUGGUUGCGCAGAGACCAGGCACUUGAAAGUCCCUGUGGCUGACUGUCCUAGUUGUCCGUUCUCAACAACUACAAUAUGUUCUUACAAAUGUUCACGAUUGACUUCCACGGUGAAGGAAUAGCGUCGUGUAAUAAAAAUCAAACCCGCCAAAUUAUAAUUUGCGUAAUUACUGACAGUAGGACCUCUUGUGAGUCCGCGCGGGUAGGUACCACCACCCUGCUUAUUUCUGCCGUGAAGCAGUAUACUGAGACCUUAGAACUGAUAUCUCAAGGUGGGUGGCGCAUUUACAUCGUAGAUGUCUAUGAGCGCCAGUAACCACUUAACACCAGAUGGGCUGUGAGCUCGUCCAUCCAUUUAAGCAACAAAAAAAAACAAUUCCAGUCGUGAGGCGCAUAUGCAUCACAACACUAGCCGACCUCCAUCUUACCAGAUGAGUAACAAGAAAAUAAAUCUCAUCAAUGUUUGUGGUCCUAGAUGGGCAGUAACAGCGUAAUAUUGACGACGUGGAUUGGCUCCAAUUAUAGCUAACAAUCGGGUGAGCCAUAAACUCGCCUGCCUAUGCAAUGAAAAAUGAAAAGUUUCGUCGCAUACCAUAUCAUACCAGCCAUGCUCCUCGCCAGACUAAGGUAUAGGUGGCAGGCUACCGAGGUAUAGACCUAUCAAUAGUAAUCGGAAUAUCGAGAGAGUACGUCUGCCCGCUGCUUCUGUGACGAGUAUAGAGAGUGCGUGUACUCACGGCGCGUCGCCUUCCUGUAGAAGGGGUUCCUGUGGUCCCGGUUCGGGAGGCUUCUUGCCGGGGCCGGCCUCCGAGCCGCGCGCCGCCAGACUGUGACAGAACCAAUACGGGUCAAUUAGAAGCCCUACCGUUUUUAGACAUACUACACUACUAUGGGUACUACCUACAGCUCACAGGAUGGAUCCAGUAAUAACAGUUCAUGGAAGCUAUUUCCAUUUUACUACAAGCAGAAAAGUUCAAAAGUUUGUCAUCAAGAGUGACGGAGUCUACAAGGGAACUGGUAAUGGUCCUCAGUUGGCCCCGGUGUUGUUUUGGAUGAAAUUGAAAGGAGAUUGAGAAAAACCGUUCAUUUUAACAUUUUCAUGUUUAAUAAGUUAGAAACCUUAUAAAAUAGCCUUGUGAAAUUUAAA